YCGCGACCCCAGGUCAGGCGGGACUACCCGCUGAGUUUAA
rnacentral:rRNA from 1 species